UGCAUUAUUCAGUUUAAAUCUACAUCUUUCCAAUCAUUCAUAGAAAGUUCUAGUUACUAUUUACUACUUUAUAUAAUAUUUAUAUGGCUUCACUUACAUAUUUUACUUUUCAGAGUUUCAGAGAAAAGUUAUGUUCCAACUUGCUGAAAUUAAAAACAUUUUAGUAAAUAGAACUGCACAGUUCUCUAAUGAUCCAGAAGGUUAUAACUUAAAAGUUCAAAUGAACUUAAUCUUUUGAAAAGAAAAGUUGCAAUUGGAGAUAUCCAAUACAUCACUUUUGUAAAACAGUUAUCAUUAAUUGGCGGUAAAAAUUCAGCUGGUAGACUGACAACAGACGCUAUUUUCAGAAUGCAGCAUGAAUGGUCUAAAGAAGAAAAAAAAGUUUAAAGAGUUGACAAGUCUAUGUAUUGCUAUCACUGAUGCUGCUUCAAAGUCAAAUAAAAGCUUAACCAAAAUGGAUCUCAUGCAACUUAUUGGGAGGUUAAUUAGGCAUUAUUCUGACCGAUUCAAGAGAAAAUCCACCAAUAUCAAUAUCAAUCAAUGAUUGCUUAAUUAACUUCAAUCAGUUGUUGUGUUUUUUAUUUCUUUUGCAUUUUUCAGUAAUUUUCUUUUACUUAUAAUAUACUAUCGAUUAUACUCUACAAAAUAUAUUAGUUUUUAAUUUGGAAAGUGUAACUUUGUUUGAAUAAUUUUUCUAAGCUUUUGUAAAAUUAAUAAUUUAUUUUAAAUAUAUGAAA